CAUCCCUUUGCAGCCACCACCUGCUGGUUGCCAGAGCAAAUCCCAAACAGGAAGAAGCAGGAGCAGAGCACUCACCAGGAGGAGGAAUCGGUGUUUCAGGGCUGUAAGAUGUCAAUUACUGCUGUAGAAGAGGCAAAGCUACAUGUGGGUUUUGCCCUUUCCUCUCCAGGGAAUGGAAGCUGUGAAAGCAGGAACACUGGGCACAAGCAGAAGAGGAGAGGUAAAUCCUACCCUUGGAAAAGCCCCCUUGUAAUCCAUUUCUGCCAGAGACCUUUCUGAUUUGGUGGGGUCCAUUAGAAAAACCUUCUCGUUGUUACAGAGCUGAAACUCUGUGUUCAGGGAGUAAACAACUGGAAUUGGGCGGUUUGUCUGCUGGAAGGAGAUCGGGAUCAAAACCUGCAAUUGGGACAAGGAAGAACACAAAGGGGAGAUGAGGUUUGGACAGGUGUGCACCCCAAAGGGGCCGAGCCUGCCCUCCUGCCCUCUUACCGCUCGGGAGCGUGAGCCGUGCAGGGCAGGGGCUCGGCCCCAAGCUCUGCCCACGGCUGCGUGGGCUGCACCGUGCAGAGGAUCAGGAAGAUGGUGUAUUCUCCAGAGUAAAUCUUCCUGUUGUAGGAGCUGGUUGCUC
rnacentral:lncRNA from 1 species